rnacentral:lncRNA from 1 species
AGAGAGGGAGAAGUUAACCAAUUCUCAUUCCCCUCAACAUCUUCUUAUAUUUCAGGGACACAAAACAAACACAUUCCCUCCUACAUACGUGGAUUCUGACCAGUUGAGCAUUUGUGAGAAGCCAUUAGGACUGAAGGCCAAAAUGAUCGUGGUGCUCGCUUUGUGCAACCCAUCACAGAUAUGGAGAAGUCACUGAGACCAGUCAGGGCAUGUAGCCUCGUGAGCAGCGUGUGGAGGCUCGUCCUGGUUGCUACUAAUGGAUCAUCUCCUUAUACAAUUGUUAGAAAACCUGCAGCUGACCAGAAACCUGCAUAAAAAAUAUCGGAGAAAUAGAGAAG